rnacentral:rRNA from 1 species
GUGCAGCAGGCGCGAAUCCUCCGCAAUACACGAAAGUGUGACGGGGUUACCCAAAGUGUCCAAAUUUGGACUGUGGUAGGUGAGUAAUGUCCCCUACUAGAAAGGAGAGGGCAAGGCUGGUGCCAGCCGCCGCGGUAAAACCAGCUCUUCAAGUGGUCGGGAUAAUUAUUGGGCUUAAAGUGUCCGUAGCCGGUUUUAGUAAGUUCCUGGUAAAAUCGGGGUAGCUUAACUAUCUGUAUGCUAGGAAUACUGCUAUACUAGAGGGCGGGAGAGGUCUGAGGUACUACAGGGGUAGGGGUGAAAUCCUGUAAUCCUUGUAGGACCACCAGUGGCGAAGGCGUCAGACUGGAACGCGCCUGACGGUGAGGGACGAAAGCCAGGGGAGCGAACCGGAUUAGA